AAAACAACACCAUCAUACCAAAUCCUGAGCAUAUGCUCUGGGUUCGUCAAGAUCAUUUGAUCCUAAAAGCUCUUGCAAGAUCUCUUUUCCCCACCAUCAUUCCCUUCAUCGCCCAAGCAAAAACCUCUCAUGAAACUUGGACAACCUUGGCAAACACUUAUGCUAAGCCAUCUCGGGGACGUAUCAAACAAGUAAAAAUGCCAUCUCUUGGAGUUCGAAGAAACAGAGAACUGUAGCGUGAUCCUCAACUGAAGCUAGUAUCGCUUAGUUGCUACAACAGCAGCGGAACUUAAUUGGAUAUGCUUUUUGUUAACUGAUCUUGGUGUCUCAAUCUCUACAAGUCCUGUUAUUUAUUGUGAUAAUGUUGGGGUUACUCAACUUUGCUCUAAUCCAGUUGUUCAUUCACGAAUGAAACAUAUGGCCAUUGAUUUUCAUUUCAUUCGUGAUCAAGUUCAAGCCGAUUUUCUUUGGGUUGCACAUGUUUCCUUUGCUGAUAAACUUGCUAAUGCUCUUACUAAGCCACUUCCCCGUGCUCGAUUUCUCAUUCUCAAAAACAAGAUUGGACUCUCUUCUUGAGCUUUAAUUUGAGGGGGCAUAACAGAAGAAAUCUUAUCUAUACUCUCUGUACUAUAUUUAUCUUGUAUUUAAAUUUGUAUAGAUUAGUGUAAUCUUGUAUUUGGAUUUGUAUAGGUUGGUUUUGUUGUUAUCUAGUUAGGUUCGGUAUGCUUAUCCA
rnacentral:lncRNA from 1 species